rnacentral:rRNA from 1 species
UUAGUGGCGGACGGGUGAGUAACGCGUGGGCAACCUGCCGUAUACAGGGGGAUAACAACUGGAAACAGCUGCUAACACCGCAUAAGCGCACGGUAUCGCAUGGUACCGAGUGAAAAUCUCCGGAGGUAUACGAUGGGCCCGCGUCUGAUUAGCCAGUUGGUGGGGUAACGGCCUACCAAAGCGACGAUCAGUAGCCGGCCUGAGAGGGUGGACGGCCACAUUGGGACUGAGACACGGCCCAAACUCCUACGGGAGGCAGCAGUGGGGGAUAUUGCACAAUGGGGGAAACCCUGAUGCAGCGACGCCGCGUGAGUGAAGAAGCAAUUCGUUGCGUAAAGCUCUAUCAGCAGGGAAGAAGAAAUGACGGUACCUGAAUAAGAAGCCCCGGCUAACUACGUGCCAGCAGCCGCGGUAAUACGUAGGGGGCAAGCGUUAUCCGGAUUUACUGGGUGUAAAGGGAGCGUAGACGGCAGUGCAAGUCCGAUGUGAAAACCCGGGGCUCAACCCUGGGAGUGCAUUGGAAACUGUACGGCUGGAGUGCAGGAGAGGUAAGCGGAAUUCCUGGUGUAGCGGUGAAAUGCGUAGAUAUCAGGAGGAACACCAGUGGCGAAGGCGGCUUACUGGACUGUAACUGACGUUGAGGCUCGAAAGCGUGGGGAGCAAACAGGAUUAGAUACCCUGGUAGUCCACGCUGUAAACGAUGAAUACUAGGUGUCGGGGGUUUACGGACGUCCGGUGCCGCAGCAAACGCAGUAAGUAUUCCACCUGGGGAGUACGUUCGC